UACGGAGGGUGCAAGCGUUAUCCGGAAUCAUUGGGUUUAAAGGGUCCGCAGGCGGUCAUAUAAGUCAGUGGUGAAAGCCUACAGCUCAACUGUAGAACUGCCAUUGAUACUGUAUGACUUGAAUUCGAUCGAAGUGGGCGGAAUAUGACAUGUAGCGGUGAAAUGCUUAGAUAUGUCAUAGAACACCGAUAGCGAAGGCAGCUCACUAGGUCUGGAUUGACGCUCAGGGACGAAAGCGUGGGGAGCAAACAGGAUUAGAUACCCUGGUAGUCCACGCCGUAAACUAUCAAUACUCGUUCUCAGCUCUUCAGGAGUUGGGGACCAAGCGAAAGUGAUAAGUAUUGCACCUGGGGAGUACGAUCGCAAGGUUGAA
rnacentral:rRNA from 1 species